UACGUAGGGUGCAAGCGUUGUCCGGAUUUAUUGGGCGUAAAGAGCUCGUAGGCGGUCUGUCGCGUCGGAUGUGAAAACCCAGGGCUCAACCCUGGGCCUGCAUUCGAUACGGGCAGACUAGAGUACGGCAGGGGAGACUGGAAUUCCUGGUGUAGCGGUGAAAUGCGCAGAUAUCAGGAGGAACACCGGUGGCGAAGGCGGGUCUCUGGGCCGUAACUGACGCUGAGGAGCGAAAGCGUGGGGAGCGAACAGA
rnacentral:rRNA from 1 species